rnacentral:rRNA from 1 species
GACGAACGCUGGCGGCGUGCUUAACACAUGCAAGUCGAGCGAUGAAGCUUCUUCGGAAGUGGAUUAGCGGCGGACGGGUGAGUAACACGUGGGUAACCCGCCACAUAGAGGGGAAUAGCCUUCCGAAAGGAAGAUUAAUACCGCAUAAGAUUGUAGCUUCGCAUGAAGCAGCCAUUAAAGGAGCAAUCCGCUAUGAGAUGGACCCGCGUCGCAUUAGCUAGUUGGUGAGGUAACGGCUAACCAAGGCGACGAUGCGUAGCCGACCUGAGAGGGUGAGCGGCCACAUUGGGACUGAGACACGGCCCAGACUCCUACGGGAGGCAGCAGUGGGGAAUAUUGCACAAUGGGGGAAACCCUGAUGCAGCAACGCCGCGUGAGUGAUGACGGUCUUCGGAUUGUAAAGCUCUGUCUUCAGGGACGAUAAUGACGGUACCUGAGGAGGAAGCCACGGCUAACUCUGUGCCAGCCGCCGCAGUAA